UGGCUUCUGAGCUCAGGGUACCAGGAGGGAUCUUACAAAGACUCCAGGUGUUAGAAGGCCAUAGAUUUGGAAACACUUUACAAAACUGCAAGUUAUCAACGUUUCUAGGUAUAUUUUUGAUUAAGUAAAAAAACCCCAAAUUUACACCGAACAUAUUUAUAAAUAGUUGCACUGUAUUUUUAGUUUUUAGGUUUUUUUGUUUUGUUUUGUUUUGUUUUCUACAGGGAUGUGCCACCAUUCCUGGCUAUUUUUUUAUUAUUAUUAUUAUUUUUUUUUUUUUUUUGAAGAGAUGAGGGUCUUGCUGUGUUGCGCAAGGCUGGGGAGGCCUCAGGAAACUUAUAAUCAUGGUGGAAGGUGAAGGGGAAGCAAGGCCAUCAUCCAGUUACCUCCACCUGGUCUCUCUCUUACACGAGGGGAUUAUGGGGAUUAUAAUUCAAGAUGAGAUUUGGGUGGGAACACAAAGCCUAACCAUAUCAUUCUGCCCCCAAGAUGCAAUGAGGGUACAGGCAUUGGGUAAAUGUUCCCAUUCUAAAUGGGAGAAAUUGGCCAAAACAAAGGGGACACAGGUCCCAUUCAAGUCUGAAAUCUCUAAAAUGUUAUACUUUGAAAAUGUAUGUUCCCUUAACUGCAAAAUAAGGUGAAUAUAGGAUAAAAAAAUAGUAAGACGCUAUAUAUGACGACUCACAAUGUCACUAUUAAAAGGCCAAUAGUGGUAAAAUUUAACUUUAAAGUCAUAUAAUAUGAUCACGAUAUAGGGUUUUGAAUUAUACACUUUCUUGUUUCCUACUUCAAAUGCAGUACUUUGCACAUACGGAGAAUUAAUGUUGCACAUUGCUUUUCAUAUGAAUUUCUUCAAUCGGAAUUUAAUUAGGCACCCUUUUGUUGAGUACAUGGAAUUGUGUGGAACUAAAGGAAGACCUGGAUAAGUCCUAAUCCAAAAGCUAUUCUCCUGGACAGGUCUUGAUUUAUUGCGACUGAGUCCCAACCAACUUUGAUUUAUUUCAGCUUAGGGGAGGAAGGCAAGCUUGGAACAGAAAAGCGCUGUUGAAUGUUGAGCACGUGAUGUCAGGACAGGCCCUCCAGACUUCCAGGGGCACGGGACAAGCGGUUCAGAAGAGAAUGGCUUCUGAGAAAGCCAUUUUAAAACCCUAAGAUUUAAAUAACACGAAAUUGUACCAGACAAAAUAAAUGUAAUCACAGAGGAGAGAAAAUGGCUCCUGAAACAGUUGGCUGAUUGUGGCAGGGUAGGAAGCCCCAGCCUUAUCUCUGGGAAAAGGAGGAAACCCUGGGGGCCUUACUGUUAAUCAGGACUCUCAUUUGCAUUCGGGGGCUGCUCUGUGUGGCCGUCUGUCCUUCCUGAGAGCAAAGGCCAGGAGGACUGCCCCCUCCUCGGCAACACCAACAACUGAUAGUCCAUUAAAUGAGAGCAGAUUUCCUUUUUGCAGGCAGACAGAAUAAGUCAAAAGAAGGCAAAGUUACUCCAUUAAGCAAAGACAAAAGGGUCAGUCCAUUUAACGAACGAAUUUGUUUCCUUUCCGGCCAGGCUUUCCUGACAGAGCCGAUAGUAGAGUGCUGUGCUCACUGCUGUGUCCUUGAGCGUGGGUUGUCAGAACAGUGACUCGCCGGCUCCCACACCAGCAAUGCGCAGUACCUUCCUGUUGGCCAAGUUAGGGCUCAGGGUGGUGCCCACUUAAUACCUCACUGCAGGCUUCACUGGGCCUAGCAUGAUGCCUCGCACAUAGCCAGGAGCCCCCAGCACAGCAGCUUUGACUGCUGACAAAGCCCUGUUCCCUCCUUGGGGGUGGCAGAAGGAGUGCAUGAGAUGGACCUGUCCCCAGUGUCACAUGGUUGACAAAGGGCAACGUCAACAAUUCUCAGAGGCAACGUUAAGUUCCUUAAAAGGGAGAUAAUGGUAGGAAAAAUGUGUUGCAAAACAAAGAAGAGGGGAAGCAGAAGAAAGGGGAUAAGGGCAGAAAAGAUGGAUAGAGGUAGCAUGGCCCAAGCAAGUAAGAACAGCACAAGCUCUGGCAUCCAUGACAUGAGAUCCAAACUCCAUCCCAGCGACUUACCUGCAUGUGCUCUGUGCAAGCUA
rnacentral:lncRNA from 1 species